rnacentral:rRNA from 1 species
AUAUCAUUAGGCGGAGGAAAAGAAACGAACAAGGAUUCCCCUAGUAACGGCGAGCGAACCGGGAAUAGCCCAGAAUGAAAAUCUCCCUUUGGAGAAUUGUAGUCUAUAGAAGCGUCCUCUGUAGCGCGCGAAGCCCAAGUCCUCUGGAGAGGGGCGUCAGAGAGGGUGAGAACCCCGUCGGCUUCGUGUCUGCUGCCUCACGAGGUGCUUUCGCAGAGUCGGGUUGCUUGGGAAUGCAGCCCUAAUUUGGUGGUAAAUCCCAUCUAAGGCUAAAUACUGGCGAGAGACCGAUAGCGCACAAGUA